rnacentral:rRNA from 1 species
UACAGAGGGUGCAAGCGUUGCUCGGAAUUAUUGGGCGUAAAGGGCAAGUAGGUGGUCUCAUUUGUCUGGGGUGAAAGCCUUGAGCUUAACUCAAGAAGUGCCCCAGAAACGGUGAGACUGGAGUCCUGGAGAGGGUCGUGGAAUUCCCGGUGUAGCGGUGAAAUGCGUAGAGAUCGGGAGGAACACCUGUGGCGAAAGCGGCUCACUGGACCACAACUGACGCUGAUGCGCGAAAGCUAGGGGAGCAAACAGG